GCGAGGCCAGGGAAGCCGUCGGAAGUUGCUUUAUUUCGGCACGUGAUAAAUUAAUUUAAGCCAGAGUCGAAGGCGUUCCGUAUAAUGUUUUAUUUUUAUUUUUUUUCUUUUGCAUACACAUCGCGAGGUGCCAUCAGGUGGAUCAUUUCGUGGGCAAUGGUGGGGUGGCAGCUUAGCUUAUCGAAGUGGGCGUGGCAACAACUUAAUUACGCUACGCACGGCAGCUAAUUGAGUUCAUAGCCUAGCGAAAAAUAAAACGCCAUUUGGCUUGGCAUUGAGUCGGAGUUUCGCUUUUUGGUUUGGCAAUUACACGCAAUUUUCAUGGUGGAAAAACAGUGGAUUGAGAGGAAUACAGACAGUAGAUUUGGGAAUUUAAACGAAUGAGUUCAAGUCUUUGAGAUAAAAGUCUAAAUUUCAAGUGGAAAAUUCCAAAAGCUAAUAAAAACCACUGUAUUAUCACCUUGGAGGACGUGCUUUGUGAGCUUUGCAUGUUUAUAGUCCUCCCAAAAACAGUUUCCUAAUUGCCAGAAUAUUUGAAUGGCGAGCAAACAGUUGGCCAAAUCCAUUUGGCCCAAAGAUGGUAAACUUUAACCUGACCCAGACCUAGGACUUUGGACUCUUGGAGCGAACCAAAACGAACCCAUCUCAAGGCCUGCCUUCACUUGCACUCCUGACAGCUCAAUUUGCUCGGCUUUGCUGCUAUUUUCGCUGGUUUUCGGCUCAGACUCGCGCCGACAGUAAUUAUAACUUGGCUGUAAUCUGCGUA